rnacentral:rRNA from 1 species
AUGAGAGUUUGAUCCUGGCUCAGAACGAACGCUGGCGGCGCGUUUUAAGCAUGCAAGUCGAACGGUAACAUGGUCUUCGGACUGAUGACGAGUGGCGGACGGGUGAGUAACACGUAGGUGAUCUGCCUUUGGGUUGGGGAUAGCUCAUGGAAACAUGGGGUAAUACCGAAUAUCCUCCAGAUGUCUUGACAACUGGAGAAAAGGGGCUUCGGCCUCGCCUGGAGAUGAGCCUGCGUUAGAUUAGCUAGUUGGUAGGGUAAUGGCCUACCAAGGCGACGAUCUAUAGCUGGUCUGAGAGGAUGAUCAGCCACACUGGGACUGAGACACGG